CUGCUGCCUUCCGUAGGAGUCUGGGCCGUAUCUCAGUCCCAAUGUGGCCGGCCAACCUCUCAGUCCGGCUACUGAUCGUCGCCUUGGUGGGCCGUUACCUCACCAACUAGCUAAUCAGACGCGAGGCCAUCUCUCAGCGAUAAAUCUUUGAUAUAUCUGCCAUGCGACAAAUAUAUGUUAUGCGGUAUUAGCAGCCGUUUCCAGCUGUUGUCCCCCGACUGAAAGGCAGGUUCCUCACG
rnacentral:rRNA from 1 species